AGAAAAUUAGUUAAAUUAAUAACAUUAAUAUGUCAUAUUAAAAUAAUUGUAUAUCAAUAUUUUCUA
rnacentral:tRNA from 1 species